rnacentral:tRNA from 1 species
AUAAAUAUAGCUUAAACAAAGCCAAGACUUGUGGCGUCUUUUAUACAAAAAUAAUAUUUUGUUAUUUAUA